rnacentral:rRNA from 1 species
AGAAUCAACGCUGGCGGCGUGCCUAACACAUGCAAGUCGCACGAGAAAGGGGAGCAAUCCCUGAGUAAAGUGGCGCACGGGUGAGUAACACGUGAAUGAUCUACCUCCGAGUGGGGAAUAACUGAGAGAAAUCUUAGCUAAUACCGCAUAAUACCCACGGGUCAAAGCAGCAAUGCGCUUGGAGAGGAGUUCGCGGCCGAUUAGCUAGUUGGCGGGGUAAUGGCCCACCAAGGCGAUGAUCGGUAUCCGGCCUGAGAGGGCGCACGGACACACUGGAACUGAAACACGGUCCAGACUCCUACGGGAGGCAGCAGUGGGGAAUUUUGCGCAAUGGGGGAAACCCUGACGCAGCAACGCCGCGUGGAGGAUGAAGCCCCUUGGGGUGUAAACUCCUUUCGAUCGGGAAGAUAAUGACGGUACCGAUAUAAGAAGCCCCGGCUAACUUCGCGCCAGCAGCCGC